rnacentral:rRNA from 1 species
UGGGGAAUCUUGCGCAAUGGGCGAAAGCCUGACGCAGCAACGCCGCGUGAGCGAAGAAGGCCUUCGGGUUGUAAAGCUCUGUCAGGGGGAAAGAAGGCACCUGGGUUAAUAGCCCAAGGGCUGACGGUACCCCCAAAGGAAGCCACGGCUAACUACGUGCCAGCAGCCGCGGUAAUACGUAGGUGGCAAGCGUUGUCCGGAAUCAUUGGGCGUAAAGAGCGCGUAGGUGGCUUGUCAGGUCUGAUGUGAAAUUUCGGGGCUCAACCCCGAACCUGCAUCGGAAACCGGCUUGCUAGAGUCUGGGAGAGGAGAGUGGAAUUCCUGGUGUAGCGGUGAAAUGCGUAGAUAUCAGGAGGACACCGGUAGCGAAGGCGGCUCUCUGGAACAGUACUGACGCUGAGGCGCGAAAGCUAGGGGAGCGAACAG